AGAAGACGAGUAACAAAAUCCAGCUAGGACGAAGACUACAUAACCAGCUCUUUGAAGUAUUUAAUAAAGUUUUUCCGGAACAUGUCAGAAAAUAUUAGUUAGGAUUCGGAGCCAAACAGUAUCAUGGUGUACCUUCAUUGACGCCUAUGCUACUGAGUCCUCACUUUUUGAUGUUCCUUAAGUGAAAAUCCGCUUAUAGCACAUGGAAUGAUCACCUGUGAUUGCUAACCAUUUUACAGGCUACCUUUGUUUCACUUUGCCCUCAUUUUCUACAAAAUCCGAAAGAUUUCUUUUCAAAUAUAUCGAAAUUAUUCUUGCCUAUUUAAAAAUAUUUAUAUUUACUGCGUUUGCCUCUUUAGGGUUCAAAUUUGGAUAAUUAUUUUUGUAGCCCUUUUUUAAUAUCGGCUUGUUGAGUAGCCACCUUGCAUUUAUCUUUGGAAGAAGAGAAGGAUUGAUGAGACAUUUCAAGACUCUCAAAAACCGAUAAAUAUUCUGAAGAUUUGCUACUUCUCAUUUUGUUGUUCCUUGUAUAAGGUUGAAGACUGAUUUUGUAAAUUAUAGAAAAUGUCUGUAUAUAUUCGAACUCGAAAGAUAAUGCAAUUUAUUAAUGUCUAUGGUACUACUGAAUGUUUUAAAUAUCCCGAAGUCUUCAGUACUAGCAGGUACCAUUUUUAAAACCUGUUCACUAUAGAUGCUGGACUAGAUGAUAAUGGCUCAUCAUUCCGCAAAGAUUAAGUGUGAAGUAGAAGCGACACCUUCAUCUUUAUACCCAACUCUCCUGAUGUGAUGGAUUUCAUAUAUCGAAGUUAUCGUCGCUGCCAAGUGUCGUCCUUUCGAUUUCUUUUUGAAAAUACAAUACUGGAUCCAAGCUGGUUUCGGAAAAGAUCCCCAUCUGAAUCGCACCACACUGAACCAAGCCAUUUUUAGAUGGAAGAGGAAGAUAUUUUCUCUUGGAUUUCCCAUUCUAUCGCAUUAGACUAACCAGAUUGACAUGUUUUGACCGAAAUGACCAUGGCUCAACAGGAAAUAUCUGGAACCUACAAGUGGAUUUUGGAAUUUGGACCCUUUUCAAAUUAAAUUAUGGUCAGAGAUCCAACAGAUAUAAUUGAUAGUUUCAAAAGCUAGGAAUAUUAAACCAAGUUCAAAAUGCAUCGCCUUUAAUACUCGCAAAUUAUCAAGACUUAAAUUCAGUCUGCACAGUGGAUUGAAAGUGAAAGGUUUAUGAUCUCUCCAUAUACCAGACAAGUGGUUUCAAAGAAACGAGGGCAAAAUCAUGUGGAUUUAACAUGUGUAAUCCGUGAUAGAAGAAAAUAACCAUGAAGAUUUCUUCUUAUUAAACUAUGGAAUCAAUGUUAAUUUGGAGGAUUUUUUUUUUUGUGCAAUGACAGCAAGAACUUGUGAGAUAACAUCCGUUUGCUCCAGUUUACUUGUACUUAAAUACUUGGGUGAAAUAGAACGUCAUAUAAAGCAAACAAAGAUCAACUAAUCUGCAUUUGAUUCUACAGCAGCGCACUGUGCAAAGAAUACAUCUGAUGUCAUCUAUUUGAAUAACGAAACUCCAUCUGUGGAAUGAAAGGCCUUUUCAGUUCCAGCUACAAACUCUAUAUACAAAGGAUGUCUGGAUGCACAGGAAAGAACGGUACUGAAGUGAUUUCGAUAUUAACAGGAGUUGGCCGAAAUGAUAGCGGUAAAACGGAUGGCAUUCAGAAUCUUCAUCAAGCGAAUAUUAGAACUCGGUGCCUUUAAAAGGAAAUAUUGGAUGGCGAUCCAACAGAUGCAGCUUGUGUCUUUGGUCUGAUAUUAGAGCAAACCCAAAAUGAGUAUUUUGUGCCAAUAUAUUAUCAAUGAUAUGCAUGGUGGAAAUGUAAAUGUAUAUGUAGUUAACAUUACUUGAGGAUAUCAAUACAUCUCUGAAAUACUUUGUUCUUCUAUUUUAAGGUGUUGAAUAUUUAUAUAUUUUUGGAGAAUUCUUUCAAUCAAUGCGUAAUUGUUCUUGAACUUGGAAUUCUUGGAACUUGGAAAAGGUUGAAGUGCAUGGAAUGUAAAUCGUUCAAAGCCUGUGUUUGGCAUAUGAAUCAAUAUUUCUUAACUGUUCUGGAAAUUGUUAUGCAUAUGUCCAUUUUAAUAGCUUCUGGUACAUUAUAUUUCCUUCAAAGUGGAUAUUUGUAUUCUACUCUUUUAGACACAAGUAUUUUUUUAAAUAUUAUAGACAUAUGAAACAUUUUUAUGGAUAAAUUAAAAUUUGAUAGUGUGUUUGAUUUUUUGCUGAAUAUCUAAAACCAAUUUCCAUCAAUUUUUCUUUCAACGCGUAUAAAAUUGACUUCAAAAUUUCAUUUGUAACCAUACUCUUAUUAGAAGUUAACAAGUCGAACUUUUGUUACUCUCCCAGCAAUAUAGCCAGUGAUCUCAACCACUGUCACAGAAUUGAAAUAAAAAAUAUAUAACGCCUUAAUUUGCAUUUGACAUUUCUCCAUUGUCAACGGAGAAUACACUUUCAUGAUAUUGGAUGAUUUGUUAACAUUCUUUUUCAUCAUCGAUUGCAUUAUUAAAAUUCUAAAAAUUUAAUUUUUUGUCAACCGAUUAGGUGUUAUUCCUUCUCAUCAACAUAAUUGUUUGUAGACAGUUUUCAAUUUUUUGACAGAUUUUACAAAGUAGUCUUUCUUUAUUUUCAUUUAUUACUGAAUGUCAAAGAUCGCGAAAGCAAUUUCAUUCAUUUUUCCUGAAUAGAAAUUUAAAUAUGGUGUCAAAGAUCAUUAUUUGAAAUUUAAUUUCAACACUUUGAGAAAUUUUAUCACGAUUUUUGUAGCUAUAUUAAUCAAAUAUCUGUACAUUGCAUCCAUUUUCAAUUAUUUUUUUAAAUCAAGAUUCUAUUCUUAUUAAAUUUAUUAAAAAUUGGUGAUAAUAAAUGAUUAAUAGAACUUCACUUUGUGACUAUGAAAUAAGUUACCACAAACUCAGUAUAUUUAGUGUAAUGGCUAUGUGCGUAUAAUUCUGAUUUAGGAAAUAUUUUUUUUUUCUAUAAGGGUCUUAACAUUAGCCUUUGAAAUAUUGUUUUAUAAUUUUUUUAUUAAAAUUUUGAUCUGAAAGCAAAAUUUGUGAAAAUGAAAUUUGCUUUAAUAUGUAUCUGCAUGUUUAUCUAGUUUAAAAUAUAUCAAAAAUCACUGCUGUCAAUGGCGGGAGAAACGCGUCUGUAUCCUGUAUGAAAGAAAUGGCAAAAAAAUGCGUUGUCCACAUGUCUACUUUGUUUUCUUAAAGAUUAUUUGAAAUUUAAAUAUUUUCCCAUAAAUAUGGCUGAAAUUUAUGUUUGCCUACGUGAAACAGUAUUGUUCAUUGCAAAGAUAUUUUAUGUUUAUAUAUUGAAUUUGGUAAUAUUAAUUAUUGGAACUGUAAUUAUUCUUAAAUAAUGCGAUAUGAUAGUGCUUUCUUCUCUUUUCAUUAACUUUCACAUUUGAAUAAUCGUAAAAUGCACAGCAUUCAUUUUUCCUGAACAGAAAUUUAAAAACAUAUCAAUGAUCGUUAAUUUGUAACCUAAUUUCAAUACUUUCAGAAAAAUUUUAACAUAGUAUUUGUAAUUAUAUUAAAUAAGCAUCUGUUCAUUGCAUCCAUUUGCAGUUAGGCUUUUAAAAAAUAUUUUAUUCUUGUUAAAUUUAUUUUAAGUAAAUUAAUGAUAAAUUUAUUUAAAAAAAAGUUAGCA